AUUGAACGCUGGCGGCAUGCCUUACACAUGCAAGUCGAACGGUAACAGGUCUUCGGAUGCUGACGAGUGGCGAACGGGUGAGUAAUACAUCGGAACGUGCCCGAUCGUGGGGGAUAACGCAGCGAAAGCUGUGCUAAUACCGCAUACGAUCUACGGAUGAAAGCGGGGGAUCGCAAGACCUCGCGCGGACGGAGCGGCCGAUGGCAGAUUAGGUAGUUGGUGGGAUAAAAGCUUACCAAGCCGACGAUCUGUAGCUGGUCUGAGAGGACGACCAGCCACACUGGGACUGAGACACGGCCCAGACUCCUACGGGAGGCAGCAGUGGGGAAUUUUGGACAAUGGGCGCAAGCCUGAUCCAGCCAUGCCGCGUGCAGGAUGAAGGCCUUCGGGUUGUAAACUGCUUUUGUACGGAACGAAAAAGCUCUCUCUAAUACAGGGGGUGAAUGACGGUACCGUAAGAAUAAGCACCGGCUAACUACGUGC
rnacentral:rRNA from 1 species